rnacentral:rRNA from 1 species
AGAGUUUGAUCCUGGCUCAGAACGAACGCUGGCGGCGUGCCUAACACAUGCAAGUCGAACGGAAUUGAGGGGCUUGCUCCUCAAUUUAGUGGCGCACGGGGGAGUAACACGUGGAUAAUCUGCCUGGCGAUUCGGGAUAACACUUCGAAAGGGGUGCUAAUACCGGAUAAGCCCACGGACUCUUAGGGGUUUGCGGGAAAAGGGGGCCUCUGUAUAUGCUCCUGUCGCUAGAUGAGUCCGCGGCCCAUUAGCUAGUUGGUAGGGUAAUGGCCUACCAAGGCGACGAUGGUUAGCGGGUCUGAGAGGAUGAUCCGCCACACUGGAACUGAAACACGGACCAGACUCCUACGGGAGGCAGCAGUGAGGAAUAUUGCGCAAUGGGGGCAACCCUGACGCAGCGACGCCGCGUGGAUGAUGAAGGCCUUCGGGUCGUAAAAUCCUGUCAAGUGGAAAGAAGUGCAUGGUGGCUAAUACCUGCCAUGUUUGACGGUACCACUGAAGGAAGCACCGGCUAACUCCGUGCCAGCAGCCGCGGUAAUACGGAGGGUGCAAGCGUUGUUCGGAAUUAUUGGGCGUAAAGCGCGUGUAGGCGGUUUGUUAAGUCUGGUGUGAAAGCCCUGGGCUCAACCUGGGAAGUGCAUUGGAUACUGGCAAACUUGAGUACGGGAGAGGAUAGUGGAAUUUCGAGUGUAGGGGUGAAAUCCGUAGAUAUUCGAAGGAACACCGGUGGCGAAGGCGGCUAUCUGGACCGAUACUGACGCUGAGACGCGAAAGCGUGGGGAGCAAACAGGAUUAGAUACCCUGGUAGUCCACGCCGUAAACGAUGAUCACUCGCUAGUUGUUGGCGAUACAUUGCCAGUGACUGAGCGAAAGCAUUAAGUAAUCCACCUGGGGAGUACGUUCGCAAGAAUGAAACUCAAAGGAAUUGACGGGGGCCCGCACAAGCGGAGGAGCAUGUGGUUUAAUUCGAUGAUACGCGAGGAACCUUACCUGGGCUUAAAUGUAGAGCGACAGAUUGUGAAAGCAUAUAAGCCAGCAAUGGCCGUAUACGAGGUGCUGCAUGGUUGUCGUCAGCUCGUGCCGUGAGGUGUUAGGUUAAGUCCUGCAACGAGCGCAACCCUUACCUUUAGUUGCCAUCAUUAAGUUGGGCACUCUAAAGAGACUGCCGGUGUCAAACCGGAGGAAGGUGGGGAUGACGUCAAGUCCUCAUGGCCCUUAUGUCCAGGGCUACACACGUGCUACAAUGGCCGGUACAAAGAGUUGCGAUGCCGCGAGGUGGAGUAAAUCCCAUAAAACCGGUCUCAGUUCGGAUUGGAGUCUGCAACUCGACUCCAUGAAGUUGGAAUCGCUAGUAAUCGCGGAUCAGCAUGCCGCGGUGAAUACGUUCUCGGGGUUUGUACACACCGCCCGUCACACCACGGGAGUCGAUUGGUCCCGAAGUGCGUGAGCUAACCCGCAAGGGAGGCAGCGUCCUAAGGAAUGGUCGGUGACUGGGGUGAAGUCGUAACAAGGUAACC